rnacentral:rRNA from 1 species
GACGAACGCUGGCGGCGUGCUUAACACAUGCCAGUCGAACGGAAAGGCCCUGCUUUUGUGGGGUGCUCGAGUGGCGAACGGGUGAGUAACACGUGAGUAACCUGCCCUUGACUUUGGGAUAACUUCAGGAAACUGGGGCUAAUACCGGAUAGGAGCUCCUGCUGCAUGGUGGGGGUUGGAAAGUUUCGGCGGUUGGGGAUGGACUCGCGGCUUAUCAGCUUGUUGGUGGGGUAGUGGCUUACCAAGGCUUUGACGGGUAGCCGGCCUGAGAGGGUGACCGGCCACAUUGGGCCUGAGGUACGGCCCAGACUCCUACGGGAGGCAGCAGUGGGGAAUAUUGCACAAUGGGCGGAAGCCUGAUGCAGCAACGCCGCGUGCGGGAUGACGGCCUUCGGGUUGUAAACCGCUUUCGCCUGUGACGAAGCGUGAGUGACGGUAAUGGGUAAAGAAGCACCGGCUAACUACGUG